ACGUGAAACCUUGUGGGAAGCAGGGAGGACCACCUCCCAAGGCUAAAUACUACCUAGUGACCGAUAGUGAAGCAGUACCGUGAGGGAAAGGUGAAAAGAACCCCGGAAGGGGAGUGAAAUAGAACCUGAAACCGUGUGCCUACAACCGAUCGAAGCACGUUAAAGUGUGACGAUGUGCUUUUUGUAGAACGAGCCAGCGAGUUACGCUAUGUAGCAAGGUUAAGUACUUAAGGUAUGGAGCCGAAGGGAAACCGAGUCUGAAAAGGGCGAAAAGUUGCAUGGUGUAGACCCGAAACCGGGUGACCUAUCCAUGGCCAGGUUGAAGCGAGAGUAAAAUCUCGUGGAGGACCGAACCACGUUGGUGUUGAAAAACCAUGGGAUGAGCUGUGGAUAGCGGAGAAAUUCCAAUCGAACUCGGAGAUAGCUGGUUCUCCCCGAAAUAGCUUUAGGGCUAGCGUCGUGUAAUUGAGUAAUGGAGGUAGAGCACUGAAUGGGCUAGGGGCUAUAGUAGUUACCGAACCCUAUCAAACUCCGAAUGCCAUAUACUUGUAUCACGGCAGUCAGACUGCGAAUGAUAAGAUCCGUAGUCAAAAGGGAAACAGCCCAGACCAUCAGCUAAGGUCCCAAAGUGUAAGUUAAGUGGAAAAGGAUGUGGGAUUUCUAAGACAACUAGGAUGUUGGCUUAGAAGCAGCCACUCAUUUAAAGAGUGCGUAAUAGCUCACUAGUCAAGAGAUCCUGCGCCGAAGAUGUCCGGGGCUCAAACUUACCACCGAAGCUAUGGGUGUACACUACGUGUACGCGGUAGGGGAGCUUUCUGUAUGGGUUGAAGUCAUACCGUAAGGAGUGGUGGACUGUACAGAAGUGAGAAUGCUGGCAUAAGUAGCGAGAAAUAAGUGAGAAUCUUAUUGGCCGAAAACCUAAGGUUUCCUGGGGAAGGUUCGUCCGCCCAGGGUUAGUCGGGACCUAAGCCGAGGCCGAAAGGCGUAGGUGAUGGACAAUCGGUUGAUAUUCCGAUACCACCUAUUUACGUUUGAGAAAUGGGGUGACGCAGUAGGAUAAGAUGUGCGCACUAUUGGAUGUGCGUCUAAGCAUUUAGGCAUGCUUGAUAGGCAAAUCCGUCAAGCUAAGCUGAGAUGUUAUGGGGAGCCAAUUAUGGCGAAGUAUCUGAUUCCACACUGCCAAGAAAAGCCUCUAUCGAGUGAAUAGGUGCCCGUACCGCAAACCGACACAGGUAGGUGAGGAGAGAAUCCUAAGGCCAUCGGAAGAAUUGCUGUUAAGGAACUCGGCAAAUUGACCCCGUAACUUCGGGAGAAGGGGUGCCUACGAAAGUAGGCCGCAGAGAAUAGGCCCAAGCAACUGUUUAGCAAAAACACAGGUCUCUGCUAAAGCGAAAGCUGAUGUAUAGGGGCUGACGCCUGCCCGGUGCUGGAAGGUUAAGGGGAACACUUAGCGUAAGCGAAGGUGUGAACUUAAGCCCCAGUAAACGGCGGCCGUAACUAUAACGGUCCUAAGGUAGCGAAAUUCCUUGUCGGGUAAGUUCCGACCCGCACGAAUGGCGUAAUGAUUUGGGCACUGUCUCAACAGCAAAUCCGGCGAAAUUGUAGUGCAAGUGAAGAUGCUUGCUACCCGCGAUUGGACGGAAAGACCCCGUAGAGCUUUACUGUAGCUUAGCAUUGAAUCUCGGUAUUGUCUGUACAGGAUAGGUGGGAGACUUGGAAACUUGGGCGUCAGCCUGAGUGGAGUCAUCCUUGGGAUACCACCCUGACAGUACUGGGGUUCUAACCGGCGGCCAUGAAUCUGGUCACGGGACAUUGUUAGGUGGGCAGUUUGACUGGGGCGGUCGCCUCCUAAAAAGUAACGGAGGCGCCCAAAAGUUCCCUCAGCGCGGUCGGAAAUCGCGCGAAGAGUGCAAAGGCAGAAGGGAGCUUGACUGCGACACAUACAGGUGGAGCAGGGACGAAAGUCGGGCUUAGUGAUCCGGUGGUACCUCGUGGGAGGGCCAUCGCUCAACGGAUAAAAGCUACCUCGGGGAUAACAGGCUGAUCUCCCCCAAGAGUCCACAUCGACGGGGAGGUUUGGCAC
rnacentral:rRNA from 1 species